UUGUGCCCGCACGCGUGCCCGAUGCCCGGCAGCGCGUCAUACUCGCACAGGAAGCCCACGUUCAGCACCGGGCCGCCGCCCCCGCCGCCCGGACCCCAGCUGGCCCGGAAAGCGGUCGGCAGCUUGUAGUGACGGUGGACCGUCCACGCCGGGUCCUCCUGAGAGAAGAAGCGGAGCAGCCUGUCGUGCGCAUGCGUCUCCUCGCCGCCGAGCUCCGGACGGACCCAGAUGUCCCGACUCAAACUGUGCAGCUCGUCUUUCAGCGCGUCUAUGCGCCGCUGCAGCGUGUCCUUCAUCUGCUGUCGCGUCUCCAUGAGUCCGCCAGUCUCAGCAGAGGGACCCAGAGAGACAUAUACUAUGCUACUCAGAGAAGCAAGCAAACAAUGCUUUCCCUUGUUGAGGAUAAAGUGGGAACUGGCCCUGAAAAACAAGGACGCCCCAGAGGACGACUGGCUUGACAGUUAAAAAGAAUGGAUGUCCUCCUGAUGACAGCAUGUCUCUGAAACGGGAGAUGGAACAACCAACAAAUAAUGCCUGUGUGUGUGUGUGUGUGUGUGUGUGUGCGUGCGUGUGCGUGCGUGCGUGCUCGUAUUUGCAGCUGCCACAAGAGUGUGGUCCACAUUUUAAUGUGUUCCUCUACUCCAAAUAUUGUCUGCGAUGUUUGCCAGGAAAAAAUAUAUACGUGAUGAAUAAAAAUGUUAUGGUAAGUUAAGAUUGUGAGAUAUAACUCAACAACACAUUUUCAGUGACUUUUUAUCCAUCAUGUCCUAUUGUGUGUCUGCUCCUUUCAAAACUGUGACAAAUCACGGUUAGAAAUAGAUUUUAUGAUCUGACAACGCUGUGGUUGAGGUUUAGGCACAAAAACAACUGGGUUAGGGUCAAGGAAACAUUAUGGUUUGAGUUAAUUGUUCAUCAUCCUGGUUACAAUAAUAACCGAGUAGUUGAGGCAAGGGAAGGAACAUGGGGAUCACUUCACGUUCAUCCACGCGACCUUCUAUUCACAGACUCUGUUGCACUUUAUCAACAUCAGGGAAAUCUAUUUUGAUUUCAUUUUUAAAUUAACUUAAAAUCUAUUCAUAUUCAUAUGAAUAAAUUCAUAUUUUUUGCAGAACAAUGAGGGCACAAAAAGUGACUCAAAGUGCAUGACACACAAACGAACAUUUAGUAACAUAUAGAAACCUAUAUUCAUAUACUGUAGUUAAUUUGCUCAUCACACUCUAAUGCAUAAGCAGUAUUUUCUACAUCAGAAAUUAGAAAACGGAAGAGUUUGUUGGGUACAUUCAUGUCCAGAUAAUGUAUGAAGGGUCCCUUUCUGUGAAAUAUAUGUAUGCGGCCUUCAGCAGCAUAUGUCAGCUUUCAUAAAGAGUCUUCAGCUCUUUAAUAAAAGUUGCUACUUCAGUUUUUUUCCACUGAAGGACGGAAAAAAGUCUUUGUCCUGAAGUGAAAAUGAUUCGAAGGGUCACCAAGUUUACCUCGGAUUUCGAUAAUUUAAUAUCAUCAGUAGAGAGAUUUUUUUUUUUUCCCCAUUGAUUGAUUGAAUUCCAUUUAUUUCUGUAUGAUGUGAUUGGCAGCCUGGAACUGAAAUCUGUUUGUUAUGUCACAAUUUCACCUUUUGAGCUGUUUUGAUGUUGUGUUUUUUUUUUUAAAGCCACGCUUUUCAUUUAGCUUUUUUCAUAACUGGGCUUCCGCAUUGACCUCAAUUCUACCAGUGCACUGUUUUUCCUGACAAGUCAUUGAUGAGACUGAUUUUAAACAUGAGAUUCAAGUUGACUAAAGGAAACUGACAAUGUACCAUUCGUGCUUGCUCAGUCCUGUCAGCAUUACUGUCAAACAAAAUGCACCCUUAUAGGAGUCCCCCGGAAAUCCAGCCUGCCACGUUCGAUAUUGCACAGCAAGCGGCUUGCUAGUUGGAAAAUAUCCCCGAAGGGCCUCGGGAAUGUGUAUACGUGUGUGUGUGUGUGUGUGUGUGUGUGUGUGUGUGUGUGUGUGUGUGUGUGUGUGUGUGUGUGUGUGUGUGUGUGUGUGUGUGUGUGUGUGUGUGUGUGUGUGUGUGUGUGUGUGUGUGUGUGUGUGUGUGUGUGUGUGUGUGUGUGUGUGAGAGAGUGUGUGUGUGUGAGAGUGUGAGUGUGCACAACUUGUCCUGUUUCUGUCAUUAAUGUCACAUCAGUGCACACAAUGUGCCGCUGCGUUCUCCGAGCUUGAAUACAUUAACACCUCGGUUUAUCAAGUCAUCGUGCACCUUCAGGGGUUUGAGUGGGGGUAGGAUUACACUGUACAACAUUUGUCUGGUUUCUCUGAUGCAUGAUGGUUUAUGAUUGAAUGUAGCUUCAUCCUGGUCUUGUAAGUAUGUAAACCCACUAAAAAAAAGACAAUUUUAUUCCCAAUCUAUGCAUGUGAAUUCAAUUUCUAAAAAAAAGAUUCUAGAACCAGAAUCCACAUUUUCACAUGAAUUUGUGUCUGUUUUAUGCUUGACCUCUUUAAAAUAAGCGCUUUUACGUUUGCUGUCCUGAACACCGUUCAAUGACGAUUCCUGUUGAACACAGAUAGAAACACGUUUUCUCAUCUCGGGUUGCAGCAGACAGUGAAGCUGCUCGCAGACAUGCACAGAAGUCAGGACAUGUUCCUGAAUCCAGACGGGCUGUGAGAACACAAAUGUCCACAACAGUUGCUCGAGACAUUUUCAAGAAUUUUUCCUGCCAGCCCCGUCAAAUGUCUGGACAAUGUCCGAGUGAGCCCAUGUCAAAAUAUAAGGAAUAUCUCCCAGGCGCCACCCCUCGCCCGAAUGUUCCGGAAAUGUUUCCGCUGUUGUGAACAUGUCGGACCUGGACAAUCUCCUGCUGCGUUCUUCAUAUUAGAAUGGCAAACUCCGGGAGAUGUCCAGAUCCAUUUUUCCAGACCUUUUCCCGAGUUCAUGUCAACAGAACAGAAGAUUUGGGGAGGGAGGAGUCUAGUACACGUCUGCAUCUACAAAACAUCCGAGUCAGGACUGCAGAGCGAAAAAUUCUCACCGAAGUACAAAACCUUAUAGAUUCCUGUUUGAUCAGAACACAUUUCUUCAUCCUUUGCUUUUCCCUAACCUCAGGUUUUGUUGCAUUUUUCUACCAAGUCCUCCCAAGAAGUUCACAUAGCUGCCCUCUGUGCUUCACAGGAUGCCCUGUAGUAGCGCUGCCCUUUCUUUGUU